rnacentral:rRNA from 1 species
GUGGGGAAUAUUGGGCAAUGGGGGCAACCCUGACCCAGCGACGCCGCGUGGGUGAAGAAAUCCCUCGGGAUGUAAAGCCCUGUUGUAUGGGAAGAGCAGAAGACGGUACCAUACGAGGAAGCCCCGGCAAACUACGUGCCAGCAGCCGCGGUAAUACGUAGGGGGCAAGCGUUGUCCGGAAUUACUGGGCGUAAAGCGCACGCAGGCUGAAUUAUAAGUCGGUAGUCAAAUACGGAGGCUCAACUUCCGGAUAUCUAUCGAUACUGUAAAUCUAGAGUAUGUGAGAGGGAAGCGGAAUUCCCGGUGUAGCGGUGAAAUGCGUAGAGAUCGGGAGGAACACCAGUGGCGAAGGCGACUUACUGGACUGUAACUGACGCUGAGGCGCGAAAGUGUGGGGAGCAAACAGGAUUAGAUACCCGGGUAGUCC